rnacentral:lncRNA from 1 species
UAAUACACAUCUCAUAAAUACACAUUUCUCUUUCUCUCUACUGGGCCGCACCCGCACUAUAUGUCCUUUAUAUAGUUCAAUAAAUUAGGCCUACAACACGUUAUCAACACGCUCUUGACGCUACACUAAAGAGAGUUUGUUACGUUUUAAUCAUUCUUUUUAUGAUUAAUUUAUUAUUUUAUUGAAUUGAUCUACAUGUUAUUGAUUCAAUAUAAUUUUUCUUUGUUGAAUGUGAUAUUGUGCAUUGGAGAUGUAAUUACGGCUUUUCGAGAAUGAUCUUCUACAAAUUAAAAGACUCAGUUGUUUUCUGCCAAUCAGGUUCUUUUAUAAUAAAUUAAGAUAUUUGAAAUGAACUUGAAGCAUAAAAACAUUCGCAUGAUGCAUGAAUAGGUCUAGCAAUUCCUGA